AUUGAACGCUGGCGGCAGGCUUAACACAUGCAAGUCGAACGAGUGGCGGACGGGUGCGUAAUGCAUGGGAAUCUAGCCUAUGGCGGGGGAUAACUACGGGAAAAUGUAGCUAAUACCGCGUACCAUAGGAUGAGCCCAAGUGGGAUUAGGUAGGUGGUGAGGUAAAGGCUAACCAAACGACGAUCACUAGCUGGUUUGAGAGGACGACAAGCCACACGGGGACUGAGACACGGCCCAGACUCCUACGGGAGGCAGCAGUGGGGAAUAGUGCGCAAGGGGGGCAACCCUGACUCAGCCAUGCCGCGUGAGUGAUGAAGGUCUUCGGAUCGUAAAACUCUUUUAUCAGGGAAGCGGUACCUAAUCAGAAAGCCCCGGCUAACUACGUGCCAGCAGCCGCGGUAAUUC
rnacentral:rRNA from 1 species